rnacentral:rRNA from 1 species
GGUGCAAGCGUUAUCCGGAUUUACUGGGCUUAAAGGGUGCGUAGGCGGGCCAUUAAGUCAGUGGUGAAAGCUCCGAGCUUAACUCGGAAACUGCCAUUGAUACUAUUGGUCUUGAAUUCGGUCGAGGUUGGCGGAAUGUGUCGUGUAGCGGUGAAAUGCUUAGAUAUGACACAGAACACCGAUUGCGAAGGCAGCUAGCUAGACCGACAUUGACGCUGAGGCACGAAAGCGUGGGGAUCAAACAGG